CUACGGGUUGCUCCAGUGAGGAAUAUUGCACAAUGGGGGGAACCCUGAUGCAGCAACGCCGCGUGGAGGAUGACGCAUUUCGGUGUGUAAACUCCUUUUAUAUGUCAAGAAAAUGACGGUAGCAUAUGAAUAAGCACCGGCUAACUCCGUGCCAGCAGCCGCGGUAAUACGGAGGGUGCAAGCGCUACUCGGAAUCACUGGGCGUAGAGGACGCGUAGGCGGGUUGGAAAGUCAGGUGUGAAAUCCUACAGCUUAACUGUAGAACUGCACUUGAAACUUCUAAUCUAGAGUAUGGGAGGGGGAGAUGGAAUUAGUGGUGUAGGGGUAAAAUCCGUAGAUAUCACUAGGAAUACCUAAAGCGAAGGCGAUCUCCUGGAACAUUACUGACGCUAAGGCGUGAAAGCGUGGGGAGCAAACAGGAUUAGAUACCCGGGUAGUC
rnacentral:rRNA from 1 species